AUGGAGAAGAGAUCUAUUUCUCUUUUAAAUGUUGUUGAUGAUAUUACAUGUCCUGAUGCUCUUUUAUCUUUGCUUCCAUGUCUUCCUUAUUUGCAAGGAACCGGCCCUGUUACACCAACUAGUGCUUGUUGUGCAGGUGCAAAUAAUUUAAAUCAAAAGGCAGACACCACUCAAAGUCGAAGAGAUGUAUGCAAUUGUCUCAAACCUGCUGCAGCAAGAUUUGGAGUUAAUCCCGACAAAUCAAAACAAUUGCCAAGCCUCUGUAAAAUUAAUCUAUCGGUUUCAUUUGAUCCUAGCAUCGAUUGCAACACGUAA